GUGGGGAAUCUUCCGCAAUGGACGAAAGUCUGACGGAGCAACGCCGCGUGAGUGAAGAAGGUUUUCGGAUCGUAAAGCUCUUUCGUUAGGGACGAACGUGCUCUUUGUGAAUAAUGAGGAGUAAUGACGGUACCUAAAUAAGAAGCCACGGCUAACUACGUGCCAGCAGCCGCGGUAAUACGUAGGUGGCAAGCGUUGUCCGGAAUUAUUGGGCGUAAAGCGCGCGCAGGCGGGAUAUCAAGUCUGUCUUAAAAGUGCGAGGCUCAACCUCGUGAGGGGACAGAAACUGGUAUUCUUGAGUGUCGGAGAGGAAAGUGGAAUUCCAAGUGUAGCGGUGAAAUGCGUAGAGAUUUGGAAGAACACCAGUGGCGAAGGCGACUUUCUGGACGAUGUCUGACGCUGAGGCACGAAAGCUAGGGGAGCGAACGGGAUUAGAAACCCUUGUAGUCC
rnacentral:rRNA from 1 species